AUCUGGCAAAGCAGUCCAUGUUUGACACUUCUUUCAAAAAAUUUGUUUUUUCUCAAAAAACGAUUUGCCGGAUUUGGACUCUUUGGUUUAGACUUAGAACCGUGACAAAUUUGAGACUCCUGAGCUAUAGUGACUCCAAAUGAACAGAACGGGAUUUCCCUCAUGGGGCGUUCGGGGACGUCUACACCAAGGCCAAGUCUUCAUGAAGACGUUCGUUUUCAGCGAUCAUGUUCUCCAACUUCUGUUCAUUUUGCUUUGCUUGUUCCAUGAUCGCCUGCAUUGUCUCAUGCUCCGAAGUCGAGGAUGAGGCGAAGUUCAAGGCACGUCUUGCGGCGAUAGUGUCCGGUCCAAGCAUAUGUUUGUUGGAGUGAGGUCGUCUCUUUGCGUGGUUUUAUCAGUAACUAUUGGAGGAUCUUCUGUUACGCCUGCCAUGGAUAUAUUUGAGUAUUCUCACAGACGGCGCCAAUUGUGGAAAAGUGGUUUGGAAAUACUCUUCUGAUCAUAGGGGACACUAAUGAUCCUCUUCGAGUCACCUGAAAAGAGAUAAACACUUUGGUCGGGAGUGCCGGAAUUAGCACUCCGACGUGCAAUGUGUGCGGAUUUGGUUCGCAGUGCCAAGGAUAAGAGGCUGGGGGUGAAGGGACCUGUCAAGAUGCCCACCAAGGUUCUUCACAUCACUACCAAGAAGUCCCCUUGUGGUGAAGGUACUGAGUAUAGAAAUAUUUUGAUCUAUUACUUGAUGUUAUUAUAGUGGUAGGUAGUUUUGAUUAAAAGAGCAUACAACUGCACUUGUAACAUUUUCCAUUGGAUUGUGAAUUUGUUUCUAUGUUUAACUGUUCACUGAGGUUUCCAUGUAUUUAUGUCCUGGCUGGUUGGUUUUUUUAGUAGUUUAUUGUAAUGUUUUUGUGCAUUGGUCAAAUGUGCUUGCUUAAUAUAUAGCUACAUAAUAAACUUUCAUGUCGUGCAAA